UCAAAAUUCGGAUCCCUCUUCAGUGGAUUUCACUCCCUUCUUAUAGAGAGGUGGUACGAGGUUCAUACGUCCUUAUCCUUCAUGAGCUGGCAAAUCUAUUCAAAAUCAUUCCGUUAGAGAGGAAUUUUUGGGCUAGAUUUGGUGGGGACCAAGGUACGUGAGUCAUUUCCUCAAUUUGUCUGUAGCGAAAUCCACCAAAAAGUGUGGUCCUGUAUUAGCUCUAUUUUACUGCUGUGAAAUACUUGCGUGCUUGUGGUAAAAUCUCGGUUUUUACUGUUCUUUAACUCUGAGUUCUUUCACAGGUUUUGGUUAACUGAUGCGAAAAGGAGAAGUUACCACUGAUGUACUGCAGGAUAUUGCCAUGAAUUCACACAUUGAUGUAGGGUGGCUAACUCUUCAUGUUGCCAUUGAUAUGAGGACUUUAUAAACAAUUUAACUUGUGAUAUUUGUUGGCUGCUUAAUGACAUUUUCAUGACACUUUGGUUUAUGCAGGUAACGUGAUGCUAUUGCACUCUCAUUAAGCUGUUAUGCAGUCCAUGCCGGUCUGUUAUGGAUUUGUUGGUUCGGCAAAGCUCUUGUAACUCCAUCUCGGCAGGUUUAUCCGUACUGGAAUUGUUCCUUAUUGUUGGUUAUGUCUGUUCGCACGACAAUGAUGUCUCUACUUGAUUACAACUUGUUUUGCUACCAGUGAACCGGUUUCUUUCAGGAAGGAAUUUGGAGCUUGGGAAUUAAUAUGACCAACUUCUGCUUGCGAUUCUUGUGACCUGCUUCGAUGUGCCAUUGACAUUUUAGCUUGGCAUUGCAAAACUUGUAUCCUGCAUGUUCUUUGGCUCAUUUGUGAUAUGCAAGUUGCAGCUGGCCUACUGGCAGGUCUAGCUCCCUGAUAGCUAAUUCUGAUUUACACACAGAUGUUGAUUCACAAUCUCAGUCCUUGUCAUUGACAGCUAGCCAACAAUGGCCUGAAAGCCAAGCGAUAUCCCACAAAGAUUGUUGAGACCUCCUGGUCCAGUCUGUGGAAACCGUAGUAACAGGUUUUAUUAUGUACCCUUUGUCUUGAUGAGUGUAUUGAAUUUGUAGCAGGUCUGUUAUAAGGAAAUGACAGGCUUCUAAACAACAUCCUUCACGUUGCACGCAUCCAAUGGCUGUUCUUAGCAAGUAUCUUCAUCUUGCACUUGUCAUGUUCACUUUUUGAUGCACCUCUGGACUGUGCCGUUCCUUAACUUUGUGAUCUUACUGUAUUGCUACAGGUAUAGACUAUUUGCAGCUUGCUCUAAGUGGUAUUCCUCUUACAGUUCGACAUGGUUUGUUUAUGACCUUGCAGCUAGGCCCUUACCUUCGUAUAUCACAACGUGGUCGCUUUGUUGCUAUCACAGGGUACUGAUACAUACUGAUAUGGAUCGGUUGGCUCCUUACAGUUUUUUUGUUAGCAAUGCCUGAUCUUUAUCCUGCGUAGUCGAAACACGAUGGCAUAAUCCUCACAGCUCAGAAGAUCAACAUGCACUUGAUCCAUUACAAGUCAUGCCCUUUGACUUAUUGUACCCUACUGCAGUCGGUGAUGGUUGGGAGCAACGGCAACAGGCUGUGUUGGUGUAGCUAUAUGACCUGAAAUAUACGGGGAAACCGGUGGCUUGGGUGGUUCGCUUGGAUCUAAACCGGAUCCAAAACAUAAAGCUUGCCCCUGCAUUAUUUGUGUGUUUUGAUGACCUUUCUCAACAGGUUGGCUUCCUGAAGCAGUUUCCUUUCCUUUGCCAAUCGGAUUGCAUAGGCCUGUCGUGAAUUUGAGGCAUGGUUUUGCAUAUGUUGUACU